rnacentral:rRNA from 1 species
GGGACCAUCCGGUAAGGCUAAAUACUCCCGAGAGACCGAUAGCGAACCAGUACUGUGAAGGAAAGGUGAAAAGCACUUCGAAUAGAAGAGUGAAAUAGUCCCUGAAACCAUGCGCCUACAAGCGGUCGGAGCAGCUUAUGCUGUGACGGCGUGCCUUUUGCAUAAUGAACCUACGAGUUACUUUUUCCGGCAAGGUUAAGGAUCUAGAGAUCCGUAGCCGAAGCGAAAGCGAGUCUGAACAGGGCGAUAAGUCGGAAGGAGUAGACGCGAAACCAAGUGAUCUACCCUUGGCCAGGUUGAAGGUUAGGUAACACUAACUGGAGGACCGAACCGAUAAGCGUUGAAAAGCUUCCGGAUGAGCUGAGGGUGGGGGUGAAAGGCUAAUCAAACUUGGAGAUAGCUCGUACUCCCCGAAAUGCAUUUAGGUGCAGCCUUGUGAGUUACUAAUGUGAGGUAGAGCGACUGAUAAGAUGCGAGGGCUUCACCGCCUAUCAAGUCUUGACAAACUCCGAAUGCGUGUCAGUUCUAUGUCAGGAGUGAGGGCAUGGGUGCUAAGGUCCAUGUCCUAAAGGAGAACAAUCCGGACCAACAGCUAAGGUCCCGAAAUGAAUACUAAGUUGAACUAACGAAGUCAGAUUGCUAAGACAGCUAGGAUGUUGGCUUGGAAGCAGCCAUUCAUUUAAAGAGUGCGUAACAGCUCACUAGUCGAGGAGUUUGGCGUGGAUAAUAAUCGGGCAUUAAGUAUCUUACCGAAGCUAUGGGAUCAUUAAUGAUCGGUAGGGGAGCAUUCCACUCCGCGUCGAAGGUGAAGCGUGAGCUUUGCUGGAGCGUGUGGAAAAGCAAAUGUAGGUAUAAGUAACGAUAAAGGGGGUGAGAAACCCCCUCGCCGAAAGACUAAGGUUUCCUGAUCAACGCUAAUCGGAUCAGGGUUAGUCGGGUCCUAAGGCUCAGCCGAAGGGUGAGGCCGAUGGCAGAACAGGUUAAUAUUCCUGUACUACCUUAAGGAGUGACGUGGAGACGGAGUCGUGACAACGCCGCGGACUGACGGAAUAGUCCGUUGAAGGGUGUAGAUGUUGAUUGUGGCAGGCAAAUCCACCACGAGAGUCGAACCUGAUAGUAUACCAAUUCCUUCGGGAAACGGUAAUAGUGCGUGUAAACAUACUCCCGAGAAAAUCCGCUAAACUUAAUCCUUGAGGUACCCGUACCGCAAACGGACACACGUAGUCGGGUUGAAUAUACUAAGGCGCUUGAGUGAUUCACGGUUAAGGAACUAGGCAAAUUGACCCUGUAACUUCGGGAUAAAGGGUCCCAACGAGAGUUGGGCGCAGAGAAUAGGUCCAGGCAACUGUUUAACAAAAACACAGGGCUGUGCCAAAUUGAAAGAUCACGUAUACAGCCUGACACCUGCCCGGUGCUGGAAGGUUAAGAGGAGAUGUCAUCGCAAGAGAAGCAUUGAAUUGAAGCCCCAGUAAACGGCGGCCGUAACUAUAACGGUCCUAAGGUAGCGAAAUUCCUUGUCGGGUAAGUUCCGACCUGCACGAAUGGUGUAAUGAUCUGGACACUGUCUCAACCGUGAGCUCAGUGAAAUUGUAGUAUCGGUGAAGAUGCCGAUUACCCGCGAUGGGACGAAAAGACCCCGUGAACCUUUACUAUAGCUUAACAUUGAAUUUGGGUAAUUGAUGUGUAGGAUAGGCCGGAGACUUUGAAGCGCAGACGCCAGUUUGUGUGGAGUCGCUGUUGAAAUACGGCCCUUUGAUUAUUUGAGUUCUAACCCGUUGUAACGGGGACACUGUUUGGUGGGUAGUUUGACUGGGGUGGUCGCCUCCAAAAGUGUAACGGAGGCUUCUAAAGGUGCCCUCAGGACGAUUGGUAACCGUCCGUAGAGUGUAAUGGCAUAAGGGCGCUUGACUGGGAGACAUACAAGUCGAUCAGGUAGGAAACUAGAGCAUAGUGAUCCGGUGUUUCCGCAUGGAAGGGACAUCGCUCAAAGGAUAAAAGGUACUCCGGGGAUAACAGGCUGAUCCCUCCCAAGAGCUCAUAUCGACGGAGUGGUUUGGCACCUCGAUGUCGGCUCGUCACAUCCUGGGGCUGGAGAAGGUCCCAAGGGUUGGGCUGUUCGCCCAUUAAAGUGGCACGCGAGCUGGGUUCAGAACGUCGUGAGACAGUUCGGUCUCUAUCUAUCGUGGGCGCAUGAAAUUUGCGUGGCUCUGACACUAGUACGAGAGGACCGUGUUGGACUGACCUCUGGUUUACCAGUUGUGCCGCCAGGUGCAUUGCUGGGUAUCUAAGUCGGGAUUGGAUAAGUGCUGAAAGCAUCUAAGUACGAAGCCAGCCACAAGAUUAGAUUUCUCAGGGUCGUUGU